rnacentral:lncRNA from 1 species
GUAUAUUGCAAACUGGAAGGAAAUUGCAACAAGCAACUCUUCAGUUAACUAUAAAGGUAGGUGAUUUUUAGCAAUACUUUUGGGAAAUUCUCAUGAACUAUAAUUAUACAUUUCACAUAUGUAAACAUUUCUAAAUAUCCAAAAUUUCAGUAACCUACACAAUAUAUAGAUAUAAAAGAAUAUGAGGAGUCAUUUUUACCUUUAUAUGUAAGACUGUUAUUUAGGAAUAGAAUGAAAUUUUCUAGUUUGUUUAGGAUUGAAUAAAGUGUGUGUGUCUUUUUAAGUUGUAUCUCAUGGUUUCAGCAAUAAUAGCCCUUUUUAAAUGUUUUUUAAAAAAAUUUUGAGCCAGGCAUGGUGGUACAUACCUGUAAUCCCAGUGGCUCGGGAAGCUGAGGCAGGAAGAUCUCAAGUUCAAAGCCAGCCUCAGCAAAAGCAAUGUGUUAAGCAACUCAGUGAGAUCUUCUGUCUAAAUGAAAUACAAAAUAGGGCUGGGGAUGUGGCUCAGUGGUUGUGUGCCCCUGAGUUCAAUCCCCUGUACCCCCCCCCCAAAAAAAAAAAAAAACACAACAAAAAAUUUGAGAUGGGGUCUUGUUAAGUCACUUAGGGCCUUGCUAAAUUGCUAAGGCUGGCCUUGAACUUGUGAUCUUCCUGCUUCACCCUUUGGAGGUGCUGGAAUUAUAGGCAUGCACCACUGCUCCCAGCUUCAGCAAUGAUUUUUAAUGGGCAAACUUUAUUUGGCAAAAUAAAUGUCACAAAAUGUUGAAAACACUUUUUAGGAUCUAUGCCACUAUUGUUCUUCCAGUGGUCAAGAAUACUGAGAAGCUAAAAGUGAUAACCAGCAUGUUGAAGUAGAGUAUCUUCUGCAGGGGUACAGGGGUCUAAGGAGGUAUCUGGAAGUGGAGGAGAUCUUUACUUGGAUCUUCCAGAUUCUUGACUAUCACAGAAAAGAAUUUAAUGACAAAACAGGUUUUAGCAAAGAUCUUUAUUAGAAAGCAAAAGGUGAAAGUACCUUCUCAGAGCAGAGAGCAGGCAGUCUUAAGAGUGACUCACAUUGUCUUGUUCUGGGGUUUUAACAUUUAUAGUAGAAAAGCAGAUGGGACUGAACUAGAGGUAGAGUCAGGGCAUGGUUAUGAAAUUCUGCUCAUUGUUGUUGUGGUUGCACAUUGCCCUUGCUAUUCUAAUAAUGCUACUUUCUAAAUCACAUUUCUUUAGCAUUUUAAAUUUCCACACUGGGGUGUGCAAAAUUUACUAUUAUAAGGAGACUAGGGUCAUUUCUUAUUCACCAAAGUCUUUAAUGCACAUGCUUCUCAAAGGAGUGGUUUCUCCACCUUGUGGUUAUCUUGGGGUUUUGUUGCUUUUUCAGCAGCCCAUCAGCAAGCUGCAGGCAAGGACACAGGCACACAAAGGUGGGGUUGCUCAGAGUUGUUUUGCAUUUCCAUUGUUUAUGGAUGUUUUUCUUUUGAGACUCAGUGUUCUCUCUGUAUCCCUAAAUUCCUAUCCUGAUAUCCCAGAAAUACCAAUAAUUCUAACAUAGUCAAAUUCUGAUUGUGGUUACUGUAUGAUCUGAGUGUGAGUUCUGCCUUAUCUUCUAUGAAAAGCAGUAAACCAAGGGGUUAACAAACAUGUAGUUUGGGUUUGAUUUUUGGCUGUACUGCUUACUGGCUGUAUGAUCUGGGCAAGCCAGUAGCUCAAUUUUCUUGUCUGUAAAACCAGAAUUUAAAAAAAGUACCCAGCUGACAGUUGUGAGAUAGCAAGAGGUAAUAUUUGUAAAGAGUUUAGAAUAGUGCCUUGGCACAAAAUACUACUCCAUAAAUAUGAGUCAUCAUUAGCUUUAGCCUAUUCACUUAUUUCCAACUGGUUGCCUCCACACUGUCCAAGGUACCAUCCCCCACAGGCUUCUGCAGUGGCCUCCAAAUUGAUGCUCCUCCAGUCCAUUCCCUGCACAACAGAUAGUUUACACAUUUAAAUCAGCACAACUGGAACUCUUCUAUUUGCUAACAAACUCUUCUUUAGCAAUUGCAUUGUAGUAACUCAUUUGGUUUUCAAAACAAUCCAACCAAACAGGUUCUAUUAUUUGCAUUUACAGAGAAGCAAACAAGGAGGUGCUAUGAUUUGUUUGAGGACACACAAUUUGUGUGAGGGCCAGGAUUUUAAUUGAAGCAGGUUAGCUAAGAAUUCAUGCUUUUAAACAUGACCACACUCUGCUGCCUUACAUUGUCUUCUACCACACAAAAAAGCCUAAACUGAUCAUGGCCUUGCCUCUGACUGUGGCCUAGCCUUCUACUUGUACAUGCUCCCCCUCUUGCUCCUCACUGUUUUCAUGCCUGUACCUCAAACACGUGAUGCAAUUUUCACUUUGGAGGAUUAAUCGUUGAUGGUCUUCUAGAGCUCAGUUUAGGUAACCUUCUUCACUAGAGGGCAGAGUGUUGUCUAUUCCCUUUGCUACAGAAAUCCCAAUGUGUAACACUUAGUAGGUUCUUACUGGCUGAUCAAAGAAUAUAAAGGAAUGGAAAGUACAAAAAGAAACUAUAUAAAUUACUGAGUUAUAAAAGAUCACCAUGAAAGAAAAGAUACAGGAUGUUAGUUAGAAGGGGCACAAGAACAAGAAAAAAUUAUUUCUCAUAGUGGAGAUUUGCAUCACUGAAGCCAGUGAAGAUGAUGAAUUGAAGAUAUUGGUAUUAGAGAAGAAUGUGUGCCACCUCUUCAAGAAGCAGGUCAAAUCCAGAACAGAUAUGGGAACUUCAGCUCUGCAGAAGAAAAAAGGCAUCUGUUCAUUUGUGAAUAAAGAGCUAAUAGUUAAUUACAGAGAACUAAAUGACAAACACUAGGAAAACUUCUUUACACGCACCAUCACAUUUAAUUCCCUCUUUAUUAGGAUGAGGUAGGUGCUAUUAUAUCCCAACUUUCAGAUGACAUUGAGACUUAAAGAACUUUAAUAAUUACCCCAAAUCAAACAGCUAGUUAUUAGAUCAAACUUCACUCAACCUCAGGUCCUGCAGAACAAUAAUAUAUGGUGGUGAAAAUAGGAUGAAUUCAGAAAUUUGGGGCAGAAAUUUAUGAUUUCAGUUAAACAACAUAUAAAGAAAGGUAUCUACUCUGGGUGGGUUGUGGAUCAGUGGUAGAGCGCUUGUCUCACAUGUGUGAGGCACUGGAUUCAAUUCUCAGCACUACAUAUAAGUAAAUGAAUAAAAUAAAGGUCCAUCAACAACUAAAAUUGUAUAUGUAUGUAUGUGUGUGUGUGUGUGUGUGUGUGUAUAUAUAUAUAUAUAUAUAUAUAUAUGAUAUCUAUUCUGAGUGGUGAAAAGGGAUAUGGAAUAGAUCUUACCUGGCCAUAGUAUCAUAUUAAAUGAAUCUACCUUAUCAUAUUUAGCAUCUAAUCAUUUGUCAUUUCUCUUUAGGUUUCAGAUUUGAGCAAGAACAGAAAGAUACACGCAACGCUGAAGAUAGAUCAGAGGUGCACAUGGAAGCACCAUAUGAUUAUUUAUAUGGCAAUAUUUAUGAAAAACCAAAUUUUACUAGAGUAACACCUGAUUCCACUUAUAGAAUGUAAACAUAAAAUACAUUAUUUUAUUUUCUGAGGUUAUGGUCCUUCAAGCCCUGCAUUUACCAGUUACAGUUGAGAGAACUUACUCUGACUGAAGCAGCUUGUAUGUCUAUUCUCAGCAUAGAAUCUACCCCAGUUAAGAAACGAAUAUUAAACAGAAAUAACAUUAGACUGCAUACAGUAGUCAAGAAAAAUACAGAAAUCAGUUCUAGAAUGCUGAUAAACCAUAAUUGUAACAGUCAUGCAUAAGAUACUACAUUUAGGUAUAAAAAGUAAUCAGAUUGUUUUCCUCCUUUGAAGCCUUUAGGGAAAUCAUAUAAGGUCAUAUCUAAAUGGCUUUGCUUUUUCCAUUCCCUCUCCAACUUUCCCUUAUUCUUUUAUUUCUUCACUAAAUCUUAAAAAAUUCACAUAUUAAACAAUUUAUGGUAUACAGUAUAUUUCAA